GUAAGGUAUGGUAAGGUAAGGUAUGGUAAGGUACGGUAAGGUAAGGUAUGGUAAGGUAAGGUAAGGUAAGGUAAGGUAAGGUAAGGUAAGGUAUGGUAAGGUACGGUAAGGUAAGGUAAGGUAAGGUAAGGUAAGGUAAGGUAAGGUAUGGUAAGGUAAGGUAAGGUAAGGUAAGGUAAGGUAA